GGGAGUAUCGCGUAGUGGCAAUCGCAGUUGACUGUAAAUCAACCCUCUAAGAGUUCAUAGGUUCGAGUCCUUUUGCUCCCA
rnacentral:tRNA from 1 species